GCACGCGUGUGCUCCGAGAAAAAGUUCGUAACACGUUGAUCGUAGUCGCGAUUGCGAAAAGGAACGAGGAAACAGAAAAAGGCAGGGACUCAGGAAAGCAAAACGAAGAUAGGAAAUGCAAACGAGAAAGCACACCAGCAUUCAUCUCACCCAUAGUAUUAGAAUCCAAGCUGUGAUCGCUCUCUAAAGAUACCAAGAAUCUAAUUUUUUUAUCCAGUCAACACAGAGAUGAUACUUUCAGAGCGUGAAAAGUCUUCCAUACACGGCGCAUGCCUUACAGUGAAAGGGUUAAUGUCCUUGGGAAAGAGGGAACGUCGAACGAACGUGCAAGUAUUGAAUAAAAGAAGAGAAGAAAAAGAUCGGGAAGGAAUGGUGGAUUUUCACUGCGUGAAAAUAAAGUUACUGGCAUUUUAAGACGUCACUUUAUAGCAUCUCGGCUGUACAACAUCGAGAAUUUCCAAGCUAGAAGGAACGAUUCGAGCCGUGGUCGAGGCAAAUCGAUCGAGGAGCAUAUUCGCGUCACGAGGGCAAUGCACCGACGAUACGAUGCACCAGUU
rnacentral:misc_RNA from 1 species